rnacentral:misc_RNA from 1 species
UACGUAGGCAGCAAGCGUUGUUCGGAAUUAUUGGGCGUAAAGAGCUCGUAGGCGGUUUGCCAAGUUUGAUGUGAAAUCUCCCGGCUUAACUGGGAGGGUGCGCCGAAUACUAGCAGGCUAGAGUACGGGAGAGGAAAGCGGAAUUCCUGGUGUAGCGGUGAAAUGCGUAGAUAUCAGGAGGAACACCUGCGGUGUAGACGGCUUUCUGGACCGAAACUGACGCUGAGGAGCGAAAGCGUGGGUAGCAAACAGG